GGGGGCGAAACGGGUUCGACGGGGGUAGAGAAGCUCAAGUUGCAUGCCGAGGUCCUGGGUGCUCGUUAAACAUCUGGGAAAAAAGUAAACGCAGACGACUAUGCGUACGCCGUAGCCGCUUAAGCGGCUACCGUUCCCUUGGCCAUCUCCUGCGUGGCCAAAUGGAGCGUCGACUUUGCGGGAUGGUUUCCGGUGUGCCGCCUGCAGCAUCGGGAAUGAGAAUCUGCAGGCUAGUUCGAG
rnacentral:tmRNA from 1 species